rnacentral:lncRNA from 1 species
UAUGACAGCAGUCUCUUUGCUAGAGCACUUCUCCAUUCGCCAAUCUGGAGAGUCUUUUCUCCUCAAAAUGAUACAGAACAAAGAAUUCAAAGCAGCUGAGAAAUGGGCUACUUUUAUGGGGAAGCCAAUGUUAUGCCUGAAAUAUGAGUGUGCAACCCAAGAGGGGGGGUGAAUUGGAAUUUUAAAAAUUAUACUAACAAAUCCACACAACAAGCAAUCUAAUGUCUUAAUAAAAAUUGAAAGCAAUAAGUUCAAUCAAAGCACAAUAAUUAAAUAGCAAGGGAAGAGAAAGCAAACUCAAGGAUUUUUACGUGGUUCGGCAAUCCCCGCCUACGUCCACGCCUCCAAGCACACCGGGCUUGAGGAUUUCACUAUCCAAGCCUUUCCAAGGCUUCAAACGUUUACAAUUGACUUCAAGGUGUCAAUGAACCUUUACAACAAGAGAUUAUCUCUCCAAUCUCUUCACUCCAAGUGUUUCUCACACUUGUACUCUCACAAUUUGAUGAGAAAUGAAAAUUACAACAAAAACUCUCUUUAAGAGUGGAUUUACAAAUGAUAGCUCAAUGAAGAUUUAAUCUAUGAAGAUUUUCGAAUUUGAAGCUCAAUAUAAGUUGUGUGCACUUGUUUAUACUUGCUUGAGUUACCAAAAAUGAAUUGGUUUUGAGUUUAUAUAGUUUGAACUCAAAAACUAGCCGUUACUAGCCGUUAUGCACAUUUUUGGUCGUAACCGGCUUGCCGUUUAACCAUAUCCGGUAAGCCGCUUUCGUUCUGGUGCUUACUGCCCCGUAUCCGGCUUGCCGUUUAUCAGUAUCCGGUAAGCCGCUUGCUACAGUAACUGCUACAGUAAAAUAUUUCCCGAAAUUUACAAUUUGACCCCAAAACUUUAUAAAACUGUAGUAUGACCCAAAACGUUAUGAAAAUUUGCAAAUAAGUCCAAUUUUAGAAUUUCUAAAUAAUUCUUCGUUAACCCCAAACUUUCUGAAAUUAUGACUUUGCCCAAACUUUGUGAAAUUAUAUAAUGACCCUAAAACCAUUUAAAUAAUUUCAAAUAAGUCCAAAUCCGAAACUUUAAAAACAUUAUCAAAGCUUUUAAAAUACAUGUGGUUUGUUAUCAUCAAAAUCAAUAUUUAUAGCCAUAUAGGCUAACAAUGCCUACUUGUACAGCAAUUUGUAGACAGGAACAUGUUAAAAAGUGCUUAUGAUACUAUAAAGAAAAAUGAUCUCCAACAGGAUUUUCCUGACGUAUAUCACAAGUGCAAAGAAAAGUAUGGCUUAUCUUUUCUCAUAAGUUUUCUUUUCCAGGAGAAUUUUGUGCUGUUGGGUUCUUGAUUCCUUUCAACCCUCUUAUUUCUCUGGCUCAAAAUGCAUCUCUCAAAAAUUAAAUGCAAGAAAAUUUAACUGUGUUCUGUCU